AACGAACGCUGGCGGCAUGCCUAACACAUGUAAGUCGAACGAGACCUUCGGGUCUAGUGGCGCACGGGUGCGUAACGCGUGGGAACCUGCCCUUAGGUUCGGAAUAACUCCCCGAAAGGGGUGCUAAUACCGGAUAAUGUCUUCGGACCAAAGAUUUAUCGCCUUUGGAUGGGCCCGCGUUGGAUUAGCUAGUUGGUAGGGUAAAAGCCUACCAAGGCGACGAUCCAUAGCUGGUCUGAGAGGAUGAUCAGCCACACUGGGACUGAGACACGGCCCAGACUCCUACGGGAGGCAGCAGUGGGGAAUAUUGGACGAUGGGCGAAAGCCUGAUCCAGCAAUGCCGCGUGAGUGAUGAAGGCCUUAGGGUUGUAAAGCUCUUUUACCCGGGAUGAUAAUGACAGUACCGGGAGAAUAAGCACCGGCUAACUCCGUG
rnacentral:rRNA from 1 species